rnacentral:lncRNA from 1 species
CGGAGAUUGCGGCGAGCUGAGAUUGCGCCACUGCACUCCAGCCUGGAGGACAGCGGGAGACUCUGGGUCCUUGGACGUGCAUGUUAGGGUUUUCCAGAGAAACAAUCAAGAAGAUGUAUAUAGGAGAGGGUCUUCAAAAAGUUCAUUGAAAAUGCAUACUAUGAAUAAACUACUCAUGCAUUUCAAUUGUUUUUGCACCUAAAUAAACUUAUACUAACUUGUUAUAACGUAUCUGAACAGGACCUAGUUUGGGACACUAAUUAGGAUAAGAUAUCUGUUUGAAAAUAGCCCCUAUCAGAGCAACACGAAUUCUGUAAAAAUCGAAGCAAGAACAAACAUCAAAUUUAUGGUAAGCCUUGAGUAGGUGAAUGGUGAAAUCAUGGAUGCUUUAUGACAAGUUUAUGGGGACGAUGCACCAAAGAAACCAGUAGUUUUCAAAUGGAUAACUCAUUUUAGGAAGGGACAAGACAAUGCUGAAGAUACAGCCUGCAGCAGAAGACCAUCCAUGUCAAUUUGUGAGGAAAAAAUUUGUCUUGCUUGUGCCCUAAUUGACGAGGACCAAUGACUAAUAGUACAAAAAAUACCCAACACCAUAGACAUCUCAAUUGGUUCAGCUUAAAUAAUUCUGACUGAAAAAUUAAAAUUGGGCAAACUUUCCAUUCAGAUGUCGAAACUGUUGCAUCCAGACUAGCUAUAGACAAGAAGAGAGCUUUCAAUGCAAAUAUUAAACAAGUGGGAUCAAGACCCUGAAGCAUUUCUUCAAAUAAAUGUAACAGGAGAUGAAACAUGGCUUUAUCAGUGUGAUCCUGAAGACAAAGCACAAUCAAAGCAAUGGCUACCAAGGAGUGGACUGUUCAAGACCAAAGGUCAUGGCAACAGUUUUCUGGGAUGCCCAAGGAAUUUUGCUUGUUGACUUUCUGGAGGACCAAAGAAUGAUAACAUCUGCUUAUUAUGAGAUUUUUUUUUUUUUUUAGAAAGUUAGCCAAAGCUUCAGCAAAAAAGAAACCAGGGAAACUUCACCAGAGGGUCCUUCUCUAUCGCAAUAAUACUCCUGCUCAUUUUUCUCAUCAAACAAUGGCAAUUUUGUGAGUUGCAAUAGGAAGUCAUUCGGCAUCCACUGACAGUCCCGAUUGGGCUCCUUCUGACUUAUUUUUGGUUCCUAAUCUUAAAAAAAUCUUUGAAGUGUGCCCAUUUUCUUCAGUUAACAAUGUAAAAAAAUGACUAAAU